rnacentral:lncRNA from 10 species
GUAAGUUCUGAAUGUAAGGGAUCACACAGAUCUAUCUUUUUCACAUCUAGGACUGUUGCUGCUUCUCAAAAAUUUUCUACUCCAGGCUCAGUUCAUAGUCUGCUGUUCUCCAUCACAGACACCUAUUGGUGCUAUAAGCUGUAUUGGUAAUAUCACAUACCACAUUUGUAGGACACAUCUCAACAGAAGAUGGCCUUCCUACUCUGCUGAGACAAGAUUAUAUGUGUGAACGCCAUUUUAUAUUGGUAAUUAUCUGGACCUCCUGAGUUGUUUGUUUUUUUUUUUUCUUUUUGGCCAGAGAUAGGUCCUGUUUUGUUAGUAAGACUGCCAUUUCCCUAUGUUUCACAAUGCCGUCCUAUGCACAAACAUCCUCAAAGAGUUGAGGCAGCUGAUUUUAACUGAUGUUACAGAGAGCUGUGAUAGCAAGAAUCAAGUUUGAAAAGUAAGGUGGUCUGGAGAAAGGAACAGCUAGGGUGGUGAUCAAAGUAGAGAAGAAAAGGCAAACAUAAAACCAGCCUUCUUAACAGAGGUAUGCCUUUAUAAAACACAUACACGCUUUUUAAUUUUAUGAUCAAAUUCACCAAAAAGGUCCUAAGAAAUGUUUUAGUAGUUUAUAUAGAUUCUUCAUAAAAGAGCCCUCUGGAUGGCAACCAAACAAUUUUUAAGAGAAACUAUAAAAUCAAGCCCACCAAAAUAAUAUAUUAUUUUUGGUUAAGUGUCUUCACUUCACAGGAAGCAUCCCAGAACUGCAUUCCAUGCAUUUUUACUAGUGUCUGAAACUGUCAGGAUUUUAUUCUCAUUCUCUCGUUCUUUUCACAUAAACCCCAGGUAGAAAGGCAUAUAAAGAUGAACUUGACAUUUAAAAAGUCAAACAAAUAUUUAUAAGGAAGAAAGAAGUUAUGAGAAAGACAUGGGGACAGCCAUCCUAAAUCCACUUUACUCCUUCAUUUACCCUUAUACUGCAACCUAGGAAUUCUUUAUAGCAAACAGAGUUCCUGAGAUGUUCCACGUGGAUAAAAUGUAACAGAGUUAAGACGUGGAUUCUGUUGAGCUGAAACUUAACUGCACCCAGGGAUGCUUUUCAGGAUAAUUAUGUGUGUAGGGGAAAGACACACUCAGGGCAAAUGUUGUAUGGAAGCCUUUUAUAAGUGCUCAUGCCCAUGUCAAAAUUUUAAAAAACAGCAUAUAAAUGAAUAUUUGCUCUACCGUAAGUGGAAGAGCAAGGAAAUAGAAAAUUUCUCCUGCCCUCUUCAACUUUUCAUGCCUAUGAAUAUCAGUGCACAAAACCUAUACUCAGUAUUUUUUUUAAGUAUAAAAGUUGAUAAUGAAGACAGAAAUGAUUUGUGUCUGUCAUUUCAAGCUCCUUACAAGAGUCUAGUAUACAUUUAAUGGUUACUACAUACAGACCAAAAUGAGAGCAUAUUAAAUCUGCCCUCAAAAAAUAUGCUGCAGCAAAUAAGCAAGCUCUUUUAAUCAGUAUAGGUUCCCUUCCUAUAAAAUGGUGUGUUUGGUGGCAAAAAAAGUCAAUGUUGCACUUAUACAGAGAUAUUAAAUGUUUCUCUGGCAUCAAUGUGAACAUUGAUGAGUUCCCUAUCCCAUACCCUUUACCAAUACCUAUCGUCAACAUCUAGGAAUAAGCCUCAGAAUGGCAAUGCAUUCCUAAAACAAGAAAUCUUCAGGAGCUUAGGAGGUCAGUUUCCAAGUAUGAACUGAAGGGAAAACAAACAAACAAAAAAAGGCUUAGAGCUGGAAUUACAAAAUCAAUUGUCUACAAAGGCCAAGAACGUGAUGAAAACAAAAGAAACGAGCUGAGUGGGGACUGACGGAGGUGAACUGUUUUUAAAAAGGCCCUUGCUCUAUUCUAAAGGGGGGCAGCACCUAGACAAGUCUAGCUGAAAUCAGGACAUAAUGAUGCUAUGCAGAAAUCAGAACACAAUGUUACCAGAUGUUCC